rnacentral:ncRNA from 1 species
GAUCCGUAACUUCGAGAAAAGGAUUGGCUCUGAGGGCUGGGCUCGGGGGUCCCAGUUCCGAACCCGUCGACUGUUGGCGGGCUGCUUGAGCUGCUAACGUGGCGAGAGCGGACCGCCUCGUGUCGGCCGGGGGAUGGACUGGGAACGGCUCUUUCGGGAGCUUUCCCCGAGCGUCAAACAGCCAACUCCGAACUGGUAC